rnacentral:rRNA from 1 species
UACGAAGGGUCCAAGCGUUAUCCGGAUUUAUUGGGCUUAAAGGGUGCGUAGGCGGCCUAUUAAGUCAGUGGUGAAAGCCCGGAGCUCAACUCCGGAACUGCCAUUGAUACUGAUGGGCUUGAGUACAGUUGAGGUUGGCGGAAUGUGUCAUGUAGCGGUGAAAUGCUUAGAUAUGACACAGAACACCGAUUGCGAAGGCAGCUGGCUAAGCUGUUACUGACGCUGAGGCACUAAAGCGUGGGGAUCAAACAGG